CUCGCCCAGCAGAGCCCACCCACACACACGGGCAGAUCUGGGAUCACGAGAAGGGGGAAGCAGGCGGGCCGAGGCACCCUCGCAGCUAACAGCACACACUUUCUCCAGUUUCGCCGCGUCCUGCCCCGGACACGCGCCCCCGAGUCGGAGAGAGGACAAAGUUUGUGCACGUCGCGGCAGCAGCGCCCGGGCCGGCCGGCCGGACGGGAGCGCGCCAGAGCAUGGCCGUGGCCAGGAUGGUGAUGCCGCUGGCAAAAAUGCUCGUGGGCAUACUUCUCGCAUUCGCCAUGAUCCUCCUUGCCAAGCGCACGGCGCACGCAGCCUCCACUGGGCCCUGAAGCCCCGGGAGCCACCGCCCUGGCAGCGCUGAGGCAAUGACCAUCCUCCCGGCGACACCUGGCCCCGGGGCAGCCUCUGUGAUGCCAGGCGGUGCCUCCCUCCCCGCGCCUAGACGAUGUACCCCAGGAUCCCUUCCGCGCCUCGCCUGCCCCCCCUUCCCGCGCAGCCUCUUCCCCCAAUAAAACCCUUUUAGCCCCA